AUUUACACUAACACCGUCGGACAAUGUUACAACCUUUCAGUGUAUAUAGUUUAACAAUUAACAUUGACUUGUUGGACGUGUUCUAGCGUGUUUGUACUUGGUAAUUUGUACUGACGAUGUUAAGGAUGUUAAAGAUGACAAACGUCAACGGUCUUUGCAUCGUGAAAAUACAUGACAAGUUAAAACGAUUUUAUAAAACCUAUAAAGUUGUUCUGUUGAUCUAUCCGACGUUAUUAUAGUUGGCUGCAGUUAUGACUGCGACGGAAAUAAUAAAAUAAAUCGUAUCCGGAUUCAUUGUGUAACAUAUUCUUUAAUCACGAGUUGCCGUUGUAUAAAAUAUCCACGCAUAGUCAAAUUAUCCAGUCACUUGGCUUAGUAUUUAUUCGAAAACUUUGUGGGAACUUCACUGCAUAAACUUUAUAUCAGGUAUACUACUGCAGUAUAACGCAAACAGUAUCUGUCUAUAAUGGGAAGAAGACGUCCAAACAUGAUGUAUUCUUUUAUAGCAUAACGAAAUACAAAAUUUUAAAUUAAAUAUAGGUAACCAUAAUAAACAUUUUAUAUUAUAAA